AUGAGUGGCACAAGUACUCCUCUAGUAAGAAUAAGUUGAAAACUCUUGAAAAAUGCGUGACUCUUCGUGUCAAGUUUCGGGACGAAACUUCUUUUAAGAGGGGUAGAUUGUAAUCCCCCGUAAUUUUAUACAUUUUGUUUAUAUAUUUUAACGUAUAUUAAUAUAUUUAAAUAUAAUUUGCAGAUUUUAGAAAUGAAUAUGUAAUUAAAAUAUAAUUAUUUUAUUUCAUUUGGAAUACUUUUAAUGAUUUACGAAAUCAAAAUGUAUUUUCGAAUUGUACGUUAAAACGAUUUCGAAUUACGAAACCACGUUCUAUUGAAAUUAGAAAACAAGUACUAAAUAUUUGGAUUCACCUAAAUUCCUACUCCUAGCCCAAUUGGGCAUAGCCCAAACCAAUAAACCCAACAAAUACUCCUUUCUCUCCUCUACUCUUACGUGAAACCAAAAGAAGAAAAAAAAAAGAGAAGCCCUCAUUCUUCAAUUCACGCACAACUCAGCCAUCUCUCCUUCCUCUCCUCCACGCCGUCGCCCUCGCUGUUGCCCAGCCACCGGACCACCACCGCUCCCGCCGGUAAGCCCUGUCCUCUCCUCAUCCUCUUUCGAUUCUCCCCUUCCCCUCUGUUUGUUUUCGAGCUUCCCUUAAUCCUUGCGUUUUCGCAGCAACCCCGUUCGCGCAGCACCACGCACGCAACCCCGGUUCGCACAGCAGCCACCGCACGCAACCACCGUGCCCAGCCCUUGCCGCGAGCCACCACCGUCCGCCGGUCAACCCUCUAUCCUCCUUAUUGAAUUGGCGGAGAAUUCUCUUUAGGCGACUUUUGUAAGUGUUAAAGUGGUCUAUCAGUUUGUUUACACAAGUCUCUAAGGAUCAAUAAGCGUUGCCCAUCUACAGGUUUGAAGAUGAUGCAUCAUUGGGAUCGGGAUUAGAGAGCUUGUAGUUAUAUUUGUUUAAUUAAGUGAUUUAAUUUGUUAAUUUGGACUUGAAAUUUGUCGUACUAUUCGUGAUUCCUUAUUUUCGUUAAUUGGUUUUUGAACUUAAUAUGUAAUCGAUUAUUUAUAAACCUAAAAGUUAGUUUUAUGUUUUCCGCUGCAAAAUUCUGAAUAAGCCAUUACG